rnacentral:rRNA from 1 species
UACGUAGGGUGCAAGCGUUAAUCGGAAUUACUGGGCGUAAAGCGUGCGCAGGCGGUUGUGCAAGACCGAUGUGAAAUCCCCGGGCUUAACCUGGGAACUGCAUUUGUGACUGCACGGCUGGAGUGCGGCAGAGGGGGAUGGAAUUCCGCGUGUAGCAGUGAAAUGCGUAGAUAUGCGGAGGAACACCGAUGGCGAAGGCAAUCCCCUGGGCCUGCACUGACGCUCAUGCACGAAAGCGUGGGGAGCAAACAGG